rnacentral:rRNA from 1 species
GAUGAACGCUGGCGGCGUGCCUAAUACAUGCAAGUCGAGCGAACGGACGAGGAGCUUGCUUCUCUGAUGUUAGCGGCGGACGGGUGAGUAACACGUGGUUAACCUACCUAUAAGACUGGGAUAACUACGGGAAACCGUAGCUAAUACCGGAUAAUAUUUUGAACUGCAUUGUUCAAACGUGAGAGACGGUCUUGCUGUCACUUAUAGAUUGAUCCGCGCUGCAUUAGCUAGUUGGUAAGGUAACGGCUUACCCAGGCAACGAUGCAUAGCCGACCUGAGAGGGUGAGUGGCCACCCUGGAUCUGAGACACGGCAGAGACUCCUGCGCUAGGCAGCGGUCGUGAAUCUUCCGCAAUGCGAGAAAGCCGAACAGAGAACAGCCGCGGAAGGGAUGAAGCACUACGGAUACGAAAACUCUGAUAUUAUAGAAGAUCAAAAGUGUAUGUACCUGUGAAGAUCCUGACGGUACCUAAUCAGAAAGCUACGGCUAACUCCGUG